rnacentral:tRNA from 1 species
AGUGGAUUAGUGUAACGGUUAACACACGAGACUCAUGAUCUUGUAUUGAUAGUUCAAUUCUAUCAUCCGCGC